AUGGUAAAGAUUCAAGAUGCCUCCACGUCCUCUGGGCCAGCGAUGGAUGAUCCUGAUGCUACUUCCCUUGAGGCAGCGAUGCAAGUUCCUAUUACUGUCAUGCUGGGGCCCAUGGGACCCCUCCUCCGGAGACUCCAUGCGCUCAUGGCUCCCCGACAGAGUCUCGCGCUAGCUCUGCUCAGCGCGGAUGAUAUCCGCCUUCUCAAUGAUGGUCUCAAGGAUUUAUGCAUCUCCCUAAAGAAUAUGUCAGAAGACGAGGAGGCUAGCUUCACCAAUCGGUGGUGGAUGAAGAUAGCUCGAGAACUUUGUUAUGACGCGGAGGAUCACCUGGACGAGGUCGUCAGAGCCAGCGCUCAUCUCGAUUUUUCAGAAUUACUUGCUCGGGUGAAGGAUGCGAAGGAAAGACGUGAACGUUUCAAGUGGUUUCCUCUCAAAGUCAUCGAACCAGCUGACACUGACAGUGGGGAAGUCGGAGUCAGCCGCCUCACCUCCCAAAUGUCUCCAGAGCUGCCAGCUCCCAUGUGUGUCGAUGUUGACACGGGCAUUGCCCGUAGCACAGUUGGUGCUGUGGAGCUGCCAAACAAGCUUCUCGAGCUGCUGGCUUUAGACGACGACAACAAGACAGGUCUCAAGGUGAUACCUAUAAACGGAUGUGCAGGUGUUGGAAAGACAACAGCUGCCAGAGGCAUGUAUCACAGGCAUGGAGGGAAAUUUCAGUGUCGGGCUUUCGUAAUCGUCUCACGGAACCCAGAUAUGAGGAGGUUUCUCACUAGCAUGCUCUCACAGGUAAAGGCACCACUGCUCAUUGGCUUUCCUGAUGUACCGGACCUUAUUGAUGCUAUCAGAAAACAUCUGCAAGGCAAAAGGUAA
rnacentral:rRNA from 1 species